rnacentral:rRNA from 1 species
CUACGGGAUGCUCCAGUGAGGAAUAUUGCACAAUGGGGGAAACCCUGAUGCAGCAACGCCGCGUGGAGGAUGACGCAUUUCGGUGUGUAAACUCCUUUUAUAUGUCAAGAAAAUGACGGUAGCAUAUGAAUAAGCACCGGCUAACUCCGUGCCAGCAGCCGCGGUAAUACGGAGGGUGCAAGCGUUACUCGGAAUCACUGGGCGUAAAGGACGCGUAGGCGGGUUGUCAAGUCAGGUGUGAAAUCCUACAGCUUAACUGUAGAACUGCACUUGAAACUGGCAGCCUAGAGUAUGGGAGGGGGAGAUGGAAUUAGUAGUGUAGGGGUAAAAUCCGCAGAUAUUACUAGGAAUAUCAAAAGCGAAGGCGAUCUCCUGGAACAUUACUGACGCUAAGGCGUGAAAGCGUGGGGAGCAAACAGGAUUAGAUACCCGAGUAGUC